GUACGGGGGGGCAAGCGUUGUUCGGAAUUACUGGGCGUAAAGGGCUCGUAGGCGGCCAACUAAGUCGGACGUGAAAUCCCCAGGCUCAACCUGGGAACUGCGUCCGAUACUGGAUGGCUUGAAUCCGGGAGAGGGAUGCAGAAUUCCAGGUGCAGCGGUGAAAUGCGUAGAUAUCUGGAGGAAUACCGGUGGCGAAGGCGGCAUCCUGGACCGGCAUUGACGCUGAGGAGCGAAAGCCAGGGAGCAAACGGG
rnacentral:rRNA from 1 species